UACGGAGGGAGCUAGCGUUGUUCGGAAUUACUGGGCGUAAAGCGCGCGUAGGCGGCUUUGUAAGUUAGAGGUGAAAGCCCGGAGCUCAACUCCGGAACUGCCUUUAAAACUGCAUCGCUUGAAUCCAGGAGAGGUGAGUGGAAUUCCGAGUGUAGAGGUGAAAUUCGUAGAUAUUCGGAAGGAACACCAGUGGCGAAGGCGGCUCACUGGAGCUGGGUAUUG
rnacentral:rRNA from 1 species